rnacentral:rRNA from 1 species
AGCAGCCGCGGUAAUUCCAGCUCCAAUAGCGUAUAUUAAAGUUGUUGCAGUUAAAAAGCUCGUAGUUGAAUUUCGGGAUCAAUACGUCGGUCGUGCUUCGGUACGUACUAACGUCAUUGGUUUCUCCCUUCUGACGAACCAUGAUGCCAUUAAUUUGGUGUUAUGGGAAAUCAGGACUGUUACUUUGAAAAAAUUAGAGUGUUUAAAGCAGGCUCACGCUUGAAUACAUUAGCAUGGAAUAAUGAAAUAGGACGUUCGACCCUAUUUUGUGGUUUCUAGGAUCAACGUAAUGAUUAAUAGGGAUAGUUGGGGGCAUUAGUAUUCAAUUGUCAGAGGUGAAAUUCUUGGAUUUAUUGAAGACUAACUACUGCGAAAGCAUUUGCCAAGGAUGUUUUCAUUAAUCAAGAACGAAAGUUAGGGGAUCGAAGACGAUCAGAUACCGUCGUAGUCUUAACCAUAAACUAUGCCGACUAGGGAUCGGAUGAUGUUAAUUUUUUAAUGACUCAUUCGGCGCCUUACG